UACGUAGGGGGCAAGCGUUGUUCGGAUUCACUGGGCGUAAAGGGUGCGUAGGUGGUCGGGUAAGUCUGAUGUGAAAUCUCCGGGCCUAACCCGGAAACUGCAUCGGAUACUAUUCGGCUAGAGGGUUGGAGGGGGGACUGGAAUACUUGGUGUAGCAGUGAAAUGCGUAGAUAUCAAGUGGAACACCAGUGGCGAAGGCGAGUCCCUGGACGACUCCUGACACUGAGGCACGAAAGCUAGGGGAGCAAACAGG
rnacentral:rRNA from 1 species